GAUGAACGCUGGCGGCGUGCCUAAUACAUGCAAGUCGAGCGAACGGACGAGAAGCUUGCUUCUCUGAUGUUAGCGGCGGACGGGUGAGUAACACGUGGAUAACCUACCUAUAAGACUGGGAUAACUUCGGGAAACCGGAGCUAAUACCGGAUAAUAUUUUGAACCGCAUGGUUCAAAAGUGAAAGACGGUCUUGCUGUCACUUAUACAUGGAUCCGCGCUGCAUUAGCUAGUUGGUAAGGUAACGGCAUACCAAGGCAACGAUGCAUAGCCGACCUGAGAGGGUGAACGGCCACACUGGAACUGAGACACGGUCCAGACUCCUACGGGAGGCAGCAGAAGGGAAUCUUCCGCAAUAGGCGAAAGCCUGACGGAGCAACGCCGCGUGAGUGAUGAAGAUCUUCGGAGCUUAAAACUCUGUUAUUAGGGAAGAACAUAUGUGUAAGUAACUGUGCACAUCUUGACGGUACCUAAUCAGAAAGCCACGGCUAACUACGUG
rnacentral:rRNA from 1 species